GGGUUUGUUGGCUGUGCAGUGCAUAAGGAGUCAGUGCUGUGAGGAGGUGUCCGUGAGAACUCACCAAGAAGCUUCUUUCUUCAGCUCUGGAUUUUCCCAUCUGUCUUGCAUUCAUGAAUUUUGUGUCUCAGGACUGCCAGAGUUGGUGCAAUGCAAAGCCUUGAGGGCAUUGACUGGUCGUGGAAAAUAGCAGAUGACAAAGAUUCCUCAAAUAAAUGAGAAAGUACAAUACACAGUUUCCUGCUUCUUGCAAAGGAGACCUGAAGUUAUAAUGCCAAAAGGAAGUGUAUUACUGCUGCUGUUCAUACUGCAUUGCUGUGUGGAGCUCAGAGCUGCCCCUCAUGCCCAGCACAGUGCAAAACCUCAGCAUGGAACGUCGCUCAUCUAACAGCUUGUCUUGCCCAGGACUUUUCAAGAGGAGAUUCUCUAAAUACUGAAGGAGGAUGGAGAGAGUCCUUCCAUCUCUGUCACUAACUUCCUGAAUUACUGCUGCUUCCUCCAGUCAGACCUGGCCAUGUGUGCUGGAUGAACAGUGAAACAGAUCCCUGACUGCUAAAAAACAGCCCCUGAUGGCAUUUUACUGAUGGCCAUACUGGGAGUCUGUCCUACUCCAGUGGGUAUCUGGCGAGGUGUAUUGCAGAAUGAAUGCAUGUGAAUCUGCAAUUUAUAUAUAAAACAUUUUGUUAAUGCUUACUUUCCCUAGGUAUAUUAAUCUUACUGUCUCCAGGUUUUUAUGGUUCAUGGCAUGCACUAAAGAGUGUGCUCAUAUGAAUAAGAAGCAUUGAAAGCAGCUGAGUUAUUGAAGGUUUUUGUCUUUUUACAACAUCACUGUGCUAAACAGCCGGAUGCAUGUGAUGCUCUGUUUAUUUAACACAUCCCUGUUUAUUCCAGAAAAAAGCCAAGUCAUCUCUUCUAAAUUUGUAGUCUGAUCUCUGACAUAAUACAGGCCCCAACAUUUCUAAAGUUAUUAGAGUUAAAAUUUUUUUCUCAUAUAAUAUUAGGAAAUUAGGUUCAAGUUAAAAAACAUAAAAAUGUAGAUCAAUAUUAAAAGCAAGAAAAUGAGACCAUUAAAAAGAAAUGGAAGUAAAAAUACUCGUUCAAUAGCACUAUCCUCAAAGGUCCUCCACUGCACUGAAAUUUAUAUUUUGACUCUAAGAAUAGGGUUCAUGUGUAUUAUUUUCUUGGAAAACAAGAAUAAUUUUGACCAAAAAAACCCCAGAACUUCACAAUGGCUAAUUGCAUUUCCAUACCACAUGUGAUUACAAAAAGAGCGGUAGUGAUAAGGGUAUUCCCUUGACAUGACUACCUAUUCCAUCCCAUUCUUUUCAUUAAUAAUUCUUUAAACAGUUGGACACUCACAGGUUUUAAUUUUCCCAAACUCAUUCUAUCUAUGUGCAGAAUAGAAGUAUUAAUUAAUUUUUUGAAAGGCUUUGUUAAAGCCUUCACUGUUGAAAAAUUAGGCAGCAGGGAUGAUAACACAAAACACGAUUGUUGCUGUUGUCUCUAUAAUGCUUUCUUUUUUUACUGGAUUUCACCAACUGAUAAGUCUAAAUACUACAUAGAUAUUGGCACCUGUUGAGCUGAACAUCAGAUUUUUUUUAAACUGAGGAAUAAACAUUGCUAGAAUUGAAGUUUUUUGCCAAUAAUUACCUUGUUAGGACAUACAUUUUUCUUCUGAUCAGUCAUCAGAUACACAGAAAUUUUUAUAUGCUUUUUCUGUUAUUGUUUUUUAACAUUGCAUAAGUAGAAUUUUGUGCAGCAAGCAAUGGAAUGCACCAGGGAAGAGGGCUCACUGCCUCUUUCAGAGGUGAUCAGUUCUCCCAGGCCUUUCUUGGGAACAGUACUGGCAUGGUGGUUUUUCACCCCAAAUUACCAUGCACAACUAGAAACAGGGAAAAUAGGAAUCAUGGCUGUAGCAAAUCACUAAGCACCAGAGCCACAGACAGUGUGCAGAAGACAAUUCCCCAGAUGCCCUUCCCAUCCAAUUUUCUGAGCCUUUGGCACUAUCUGUAAAUACUUAUGCUGAAUCUUAUGACCUAAAUACAGAAGGGGUAUCUUUACUUUUUAAUCAUCUCGCUGUAGAAGGAAGAUGUGGUUGAAAGCAGCACAGUCUAGUGCCAGGAAUAAGAAAUUUUAGGAACUAGUCUUGCCUCUUGGUGUCAAUGACACAAUUAAUGUCCUGAUCUUAAACCACUGAAUAUUGUAGCCAUAAAGAAACAAAAUAGAGAGAGGAACCCAAGCAACUCUGUAUUAUACAGUGUUUCCAAGCCACAUGGAUUAGUGCAUAAAUACUCAGAGCAAGACACGGCAGAGCAGGGAAAGCUACUUCAAAAAAAGCUUCUUCAAUUUCUCAUUCAGCUUUCAGGCUGAAGGCAACUGAACAGAUCCUAUCUGUUUGGCACAGGCCACACUAAAGAAGAUACAGGCUAGCAAGCAAAGUGCAAGUCUAAGUUUUGUGAGAGGUUUAUAAUCAGUUUGCCGAGCCACAGAGCAACCCUUUUACAGUACAUUGUUACUAUUACCUGCAUGUCCUGAACCAGAGCUCACAUGGGCAUGUCUACUUGCUAUGCCAUUACACCUCUAUUUCCUACACUUAUUUUCAACAUGAAGCAUGAAAAUAUAAUUCCAAAAGAAAAGCAGAAUAGAUGCCUAUUUGGUUUCCUAACCCUGUCUCUUCCCUCCUCUCUAUAUUUAAGACCUUAUGUAAUAAAUUCAUUGACAUAUCUGCAGGAUUUUGCCUCUAGUUAUGUUUGUGCUGCUCACAGGAUAUCACAGGUAUCCCACCUUUGGUAACAAUCUUCAGGAAUAACACUACCCUGGGCCCCCUAUGGCAUUCUGUGACCCUUUAGUACCACACUUGCAAGCACACUUUAUUCCUUUCUGUGCUAACC